AAUAAUAUUAAUCCAAGAAUGUUUUGAAAUUAUACUUAUUUGUCAUUUCUAUGAAUUAUACUUGCUUCAGAUUAAAAUGUAUACUACCUGUCAUUAUGAUUUAUACUAAGCAAGAAUAACGUUAAAAUAUGUUUGUUAGCAUUCUGUCUUUUGCAGAUUUUGAUAUUUUCUUCAUACGCGUGGUGAUUUCGAUCAAUUUAAUACUUUUCUCAAUAAACCGACUAAAGACGACUUAAAAAUCCGCUAUUCGUUUAUAUGCAUAUAAGUUAAAUUGUUGUGCAAUGUGUAAAAGCACGCCUUUCCGGAGGAAAAUCACAGCGCUCGACAUUGAUCUUUGCCAUCUUGGUUGCCUGGUUGCCCCUGUCAACCGGAAUGUAAAAAAACUUCUUCCAUCGAACCAAACCAAACCAAUUCUGAAACUAGCACAAUACCUCUUCCUUAGCCGCCCAGCUACACCGUUUAUCAAACGCGUCAGAAGCGAGUACCAAAUCAAGUCUCGCUGCCCCCUCCGGCGUUCUCAAAUAAUGAAGAUUUGGGUUGACGCAAUUUAUCUCUGGACUACGUACUACAAAUGAUUCUAUCUCUACGGCAGAGUCAAACCGACCAACGCCGGUCUCCAUUUCAGUGAUUUUUCUUCACAGCGACGUUUCUUCGAAUGUGUCGGAUGUGCGAGAGCUGUUUCCCAGUGAAGAAUUACAUCCCGCUUUGGAAUUUCAUCGCUGCCGAUUCGGCGUCGAGACACUUUUCAUGGCUACCCUCGGCAGUGAAGACGAAUUCAUAAGGAUCUGCGAAACGAAAUACGGUUCCUAGGAAGUGCCGAGGAAAGUGCAGUGCUUGAUGGUGAUGUGACCAGGACGAUUCGAACCACAAAAAAUAACUACCGCCUGUUAUUCUAUCGCACUUUUGAUUGUAUAUUACUCCACCAAGAUUAUAUAAUAAUGAGAUUUUUUUAAAUAAGUAUUCUUUUAUUUAUAUCAUUUUGAAAACGAAAAAAGAAAAAAACAACAUAACCUAAAUAUUUUGGAUCAUAAUUUACACGGAAGUAUAAUCUAAAAAAUA